GCCUGUCUAGCUCAGUUGGUACAGUGCAAGGCUUUCAAUCUUAUGGUUGUUAGUUCGAGCCCCAUGGUGGGUG
rnacentral:tRNA from 1 species